rnacentral:lncRNA from 1 species
GUGACCUCAGUGUGACCCAUCUCAUAAAAAUCCGGUGACCACAAUGCGCAUGGAUGUCCUUAAAAUAAACUAUUAUCUGAACAUACAUGUUAAACACGUGAUCAAUUUCCAUGCUUUUUUGUUUAUUUUUCGUCUAUUGUUGACAAACAGGUGACAAUCGUUAAACUUCGGAUUCAAAACACGAACUUUAAUUACCUGCCAUAUUUUCACAACAACAUGAUCGGUUGGAAAAAAAAUUGACGAUUAUACGAAAUGUACACG